CUGCCCGCCUACUGCACCCCUUUCACGCCAUGCCGCCAUCCCCAACGUUCCGACCCCGGACCUCCCGGGUCCGGUGAGGAAAUGCCUAGGCAACCGGAGCUCCGCACCAGCUGCGCAGGGGAGCGCGGUGCUGACAUGUCGACCGCCACGUAAAAGCCUCCGGCGACUCCUUCUCUGCCCCCUCCCCCCUCAGUCCUCUCCCUCCUCCCACGGCACGAUCGACGUGUCAGCCUUGAAAGUUCAUUUCCAGGCCCUGGAAGAGUCCAAUACAACGCGUGCGUUGGACAGUGAGACGUGGCACCGCAGGGUUGCAAGUGGGGCGCGUAGGCAUACCCCAGCCUGAAACUGUUACUUGCAAAAUGAAGAGGAAGAUAGAAGUGAGAAUGAAGAAUGCUUUGGAGAAAUCUAGUCAUAAUGUUUGAGGAGUAGAAAUAAUAGAAAAUACUAAUAACUCUGGUCUCUUACAUAGGUCAGAAUUUAGACUGAAAUGAUGUAAAGUCACAAACCUGAGACAUAAGGGCUAUUAAAUUUGAAUCAAGAUUCACAGAUUUUUGAACAAAUACAUAAUAAAAAUGUUUGCUUUGUCUCCUC